UGACGUAGUGCACUGGAAAGAGCUCUUUGCUAUACCGGGGGAGUGAGGUCAACAGAACUCAUGGCGAACAUACAAAGGAUAGGGAACUAAUUAUUGCUGGGAUUCAGGUACCACCACAAUGCUUAAGCUGGGGCAUUGCUUACACUGCUUUGUGAGGGCACCCUGGCACCAGACCUCUCAGGCUGUAGCCAUGUGAACCUGUGUGAACUGCAGCAAAGGCCCAGCAUUAGGUCCAGAACUCCACUCCAUUCCAUCCAGCAAGGCUCUAAGCUCCAUGAAGUGUCUAAUCAAG